rnacentral:rRNA from 1 species
AGUGAACGCUGGCGGUAGGCCUAACACAUGCAAGUCGAACGGCAGCACAGUAAGAGCUUGCUCUUACGGGUGGCGAGUGGCGGACGGGUGAGGAAUACAUCGGAAUCUACUUUUUCGUGGGGGAUAACGUAGGGAAACUUAGGCUAAUACCGCUAACAACCAACGGGUGAAAGCAGGGGAUCUUCGGACUUUCCGGGAUUGAAUGAGCCGAUGUCGGAUUAGCUAGUUGGCGGGGUAAAGGCCCACCAAGGCGACGAUCCGUAGCUGGUCUGAGAGGAUGAUCAGCCACACUGGAACUGAGACACGGUCCAGACUCCUACGGGAGGCAGCAGUGGGGAAUAUUGGACAAAGGGCGCAAGCCUGAUCCAGCCAUACCGCGUGGGUGAAGAAGGCCUUCGGGUUGUAAAGCCCUUUUGUUGGGAAAGAAAAGCAGCAGGUUAAUACCCCGCUGUUCUGACGGUACCCAAAGAAUAAGCACCGGCUAACUUCGUG